rnacentral:rRNA from 1 species
AAGGAUCAUUAAAUGAAUUUUAGGACGUUCUUUUUAGAAGUCCGACCCUUUCAUUUUCUUACACUGUGCACACACUUCUUUUUUACACACACUUUUAACACCUUAGUAUAAGAAUGUAAUAGUCUCUUAAUUGAGCAUAAAUAAAAACAAAACUUUCAGCAACGGAUCUCUUGGCUCUCGCAUCGAUGAAGAACGCAGCGAAUUGCGAUAAGUAAUGUGAAUUGCAGAAUUCAGUGAAUCAUCGAAUCUUUGAACGCACCUUGCACUCUUUGGUAUUCCGAAGAGUAUGUCUGUUUGAGUGUCAUGAAACUCUCAACCCCCCUAUUUUGUAAUGAGAUGGGUGUGGGCUUGGAUUAUGGUUGUCUGUCGGCGUAAUUGCCGGCUCAACUGAAAUACACGAGCAACCCUAUUGAAAUAAACGGUUUGACUUGGCGUAAUAAUUAUUUCGCUAAGGACGUUUUCUUCAAAUAUAAGAGGUGCUUCUAAUUCGCUUCUAAUAGCAUUUAAGCUUUAGACCUCAAAUCAGUCAGGACUACCCGCUGAACUUAAGCAUAUCAAUUAGGCGGAGGAAAAGAAACUAA